UGCACUGCAUGGUGUCUAUUAAAAAAGAAUUUGGAGGGACAGUGUUCAAAGGACAGUAUGAUAUAAAUUCAGUAUCUGGCAUUGUUAGUUGUCUUGGCUUCAUGCAUGUUAAACCUGGAUUUUCAUUGAUACAGUA
rnacentral:snoRNA from 1 species